GGUAUGGAUCCGAAACCUCUUGAACAAAGGCUCUCCAUACCCUACUUCGACUCAAUACCCGAUGUCCCGAUGUAUAGAACGCUAACAUGUCUCUCCAAAUAUCUGAGCUUGGGUAUACGGGGAAACCCAACCCCUUGGGAAGGGGCACAGCUA
rnacentral:ribozyme from 1 species